GGUACCGGUGGAUCACGUGGCUAGUGUGUCGAUGAAGAGCGCAGCAAACUGUGAGAAUUCAUGUGAACUGCAUGCUCAUUUGAACAUUGACAUCUUGAACGCACAUUGCGGCCACGGGUUAGCCCGUGGCCACGUCUGUCCGAGGGUCGGUUUAUAAACUAUCACGACGCUCAUAAAGUCGUGGCUUGGGUCUUGCUAGCCGACAUGAUUUCCCCUGUCUCGUCACGGGGGGUCGGAUCUAUGGCUUUUCCCUAAUGUACCCAGACGCUUACCGCGGUCCGUGCGUUGGGCAUGGGCAGAAUACGGCGUGUGUGAGUCGUGGCUUAAUAUUGGGUCGUCCAAUACACGCUCCCCGGCGUUAUGUGUAAUCUCUGGAUGAUUAUAUAUUCAUACAAAUGAUGCCUGUGGUAUCAUUCCCGACCUCGGUUCAGGCGUGAAUACCCGCUGAACUUAAGCAUAUCACUAAGCGGAGGAAAAGAAACUAACCAG
rnacentral:rRNA from 1 species